rnacentral:tRNA from 1 species
GGGGGCGCGCCGGAGUUGGAGAGCCGGGCCAGACUGUAAAUCUGGUGUCUUACGACUGAAUGGGUUCGAAUCCAAUCGCCCCCA